rnacentral:miRNA from 1 species
GGGUUUCUGCCAUGCCUGGCUCCCUGCAUGGCAAAUGGCAUUUCCUCAACGGCUCUGGGGCCCGGUGCUGGAGCGUGAGAAACACUCGUCACUGUACGUGGAUUCAUUCUCCGUCUCU